GUGUGCUCUCGGAUCUCGCUUGUGAAUGUUGAUGGUGUAUUUUCGGGUCACCACCUCGUUGAUGGCAGAACGGCCCUGCUUCUUCUCGCCACCCUUCUUUUCGAGAGCCGUUCUGCUGGGCCCAAGUUGGAAAGGACCCAGCUGUCAUUCUUUAAUUAACGUUUCAUGCAGGAAUUGUGAUGAUUGAUUUCUGUCAACCUGACACAAAGUGAUGUCACUUGGGAAGAGGGAACCUUAACUGAGGAACUGCCUCCAUUCUAUUGGCCCAUGGGCAGGCCUGUGGGGGCAUUUUCAUGAUUGUUAAUGAUGUAGAAAGGCCCAGUCCAUUGUGGGUGGUGGCAUUCCUAGGCAGGUGGGCAUGGUUAAAUUAGAAAAGUAGCUGAGUAAGCCAAAGAGAGCGAGCCAGUAAACAGCAUUCCACCACGGUCUCUGCUUCAGUUUGUGUCUUGA